rnacentral:rRNA from 1 species
AAGGGCACCACAAGCCGCGUGGAGCAUGUGGCUUAAUUUGACUCAACGCGGGAAAUCUUACCGGGUCCGGACACACUGAGGAUUGACAGAGUGGCUUAGGCCACAGACACAGAAUGGGUUUCUUUUAAUACACCCCAUUUGCUGUGUCAACGUGCCGGUUCUUUCAUGAUUGUGUGAUAGGUGGUGCAUGGCCGUUCUUAGUUCGUGGAGUGAUCUGUCUGCUUAAUUGCGUUUCAAAUACUUCGAGGAUAUAAACGCAUUCAUUGUGAGUUGCUAUUUAGCUGGGAAUAGCAAUUUUCGCCACGGGCCACCGUGGGGAAACAAGUCACUUUGAGCGAUCCUCAAUUUGAAAGCAACGAACGUGACCGCAGCCCUUUGUUGUGUCUUUGCCAGAGACACGCGUCUUUGUUGGUUAAUUCCUCACACACGACGGCAAUGUCCUUUGUAUGGCCGUGUCUUGUUAUUUGUGUCUCUGAAUGUGCUGACGACUUCCGUCGUGGGCUGUUUAGUUAUGCAUUUAGCAACGACGUAGCUGUAUAAGGGGGUGUCGAGAGGUUUAAAUCACAGAGAAUAAACUCAGGGGACAGCUGGUUUAAUGCGUUAAACCAGAGGAAGGAUGCGGCAAUAACAGGUCUGUGAUGCCCUCAGAUGUUCCGGGCUGCACACGUGCUACAUUGAUUAGCACAUUGUGUAUGCCACUGACCCAAUACUGGAAUUUCUGGUGUCCACUGGACACAGCACACACAGUACCGCCCGUCGACCAUGAGAGAGGUCGAAAAUCCAUUUGAAGUGUUGAUAUGAGGUCAAGGCAAAUUGCACCACACACAGAUGGCUCUUUGUGUACUCCAUUAUUCACUGAGUAAGUGCGAGUCACAAAGGGGCAUUUCUGCAAUUGUCAAUUCACAGUGGGGACAGUCGAUUGGUAACAAUUCGACUCGGCCCUAACUAGGAAUGCCUCGUACGGGUGAAUCAUUAUUUCACCCGGAAUACGUCCCUGCCCUUUGUACACACCGCCCGUCGCUCUUACCGAUGAAUUACGCUGUGAGUUUAAGGGACUGGCUGUCAUUCAAUGAUAAGCUAUGGAAACUUAAGCAAACAGUGUGCUUUAAAGGAAAGAGAAGUCGUAACAAGGCAGCAGUAGGUGAACCUGCUGAUGGAUCA